rnacentral:rRNA from 1 species
GACAGAGGGGGCAAGCGUUGCUCGGAAUUACUGGGCGUAAAGCGCACGUAGGCGGCUUUGUAAGUUAGAGGUGAAAGCCCGGGGCUCAACUCCGGAAUUGCCUUUAAGACUGCAUCGCUAGAAUUGUGGAGAGGUGAGUGGAAUUCCGAGUGUAGAGGUGAAAUUCGUAGAUAUUCGGAAGAACACCAGUGGCGAAGGCGACUCACUGGACACAUAUUGACGCUGAGGUGCGAAAGCGUGGGGAGCAAACAGG